GACGAACGCUGGCGGCGUGCUUAACACAUGCAAGUCGAACGGAAAGGCCCCUUUGGGGGUACUCGAGUGGCGAACGGGUGAGUAACACGUGAGUAACCUGCCCUUGACUUCGGGAUAACUUCAGGAAACUGGGGCUAAUACCGGAUAGGAAUCCUUGCUGCAUGGUGGGGGUUGGAAAGCUUCGGCGGUUUUGGAUGGACUCGCGGCUUAUCAGCUUGUUGGUGGGGUAGUGGCUUACCAAGGCUUUGACGGGUAGCCGGCCUGAGAGGGCGACCGGCCACAUUGGGACUGAGAUACGGCCCAGACUCCUACGGGAGGCAGCAGUGGGGAAUAUUGCACAAUGGGCGGAAGCCUGAUGCAGCAACGCCGCGUGCGGGAUGACGGCCUUCGGGUUGUAAACCGCUUUCGCCUGUGACGAAGCGUGAGUGACGGUAAUGGGUAAAGAAGCACCGGCUAACUACGUG
rnacentral:rRNA from 1 species